rnacentral:rRNA from 1 species
AGGAUGAACGCUGGCGGCGUGCCUAACACAUGCAAGUCGAACGUCCUGUCUCGCAAGAGGCAGGGAGUGGCGGACGGGUGAGUACCACGUGGGUUAUCUACCGUGAGGUGAGGAAUACCGGCGAGAAAUCGCCGACAAGACCGCAUAGCCUCGGUGCAAGCCGAGGAAAGCUUUCUCGAGAGAGGGAGCGCCACACGAGGAGCCUGCGCCCGAUUAGCUAGCUGGUGGAGUAACGGUUCACCAGGGCGACGAUCGGUAGCUGGUCUGAGAGGACGAUCAGCCACACUGGGAUUGAGAACGGCCCAGACUCCUACGGGGGGCAGCAGUGAGGAAUUUUGCGCAAUGGGGAAACCCUGACGCAGCAACGCCGCGUGGAGGAUGAAGCCCCUUGGGGUGUAAACUCCUUUCGAUCGGGAAGAUAAUGACGGUACCGAUAUAAGAAGCCCGGCUAACUUCGUGCCAGCAGCCGC